UACGGAGGGUGCAAGCGUUAUCCGGAAUCACUGGGUUUAAAGGGUGCGUAGGCGGUCUAAUAAGUCAGUCGUGAAAUCGCUGGGCUUAACCCAUGCAAUUGCGAUUGAUACUGUUAGACUUGAAUGGGGUUGAGGCUGGCGGAAUGCGACAUGUAGCGGUGAAAUGCUUAGAUAUGUCGCAGAACACCGAUUGCGAAGGCAGCCAGCUGGGCCUUUAUUGACGCUGAGGCACGAAAGCGUGGGGAGCAAACAGG
rnacentral:rRNA from 1 species